rnacentral:lncRNA from 1 species
CUCUUUCUCUCCUGUGACCAUGUGAAGAAGCUGCUUGCCUCCGCUUCACCUUCCACCAUGAUUAAAAGUGACAACUUAAAAACUUUCUUUAAACAUAUCACUCUGACACCAAUGUGUAAGAUGAAGUGGACAGGAAUGGAACUGUACUGGGAGGCUCUGACAGUUCGGGUGAGAAGAAAUGAAGGGUAAAUAUCUGAGUGGAAUGACUGGAUCAUAUGGCCGUUGAAUUCAUCCCCAUGCAAGCUAACCAUGGACUUGUCAUUGUUAGAGGUCAGAGGAAGCAGCCUCUGGCGGUGUGGAGCCUUCAUGUGACUGCUGUGUUGUCGUCAGUGUGUGUAGU